UUCUUAGAAAUUUUGUAGUAAAGGAACGUGUGAAAGAAAACGGGAAUCAAUGAAAGUUAAAACAAUCUUAACAACACCAUUUAUUAUUUCUUAUCAUCUUACAUUGCACUACUUAUUUAUUUCUUAAUCAAUAUAUUUUACAAGAUAGGAUAAACAAACGCCAAAAGGAAAACAGGAACCCCAAUAAUGCAAUAAGCACAUGAACUCAGUAGCUCGCCGCUGGCCAGAGAGGAAGGACGUGGAGGCUGUUUAAUUUUCCUCGGGAGUCCGCGUUUCGUAUUGCUCGGCACGCCUGCCAUACAAGAUUGAGUCUCACCGUACUUGUGUGAAUUGGAACCGCACAUUUCCACGCCCAUCAUGAUGUUCCCACGCCCAUCAUUUUGUUCUCACACCCCCCACGCCAUAACAAGGGAAGGGGUAAAGCAACGAAAGGGGAGAAGGAAAACAGUGAGGCAAGAGGGAACACACACACACACCAAUACAGGUUGUCUCGCCCUCAGGAAGUCAACAAUAAUAAGCGGCCCUGACAAACAGCAACAGCAGCAACACAGCAGCCUGCAGGAGCACCAGCUGUGUCCAGGGGCGUGGUGGUGGUGGUGGUGACGUUAAUCAUUUCAUAAUCUUUCUUUCAGAGCGGCCCUGGAGAGAUAAGGCCGAGUGGAAAGAGGAAGACAGAAAAGAGCACAACGAAGAGAAAGGAGACCAAGACGACGACGACGAAGACCAAGAAAGAAAACUAAGAAAAACAGGAAGAAAACGAGAAAUAAGACCAAGAAAUACAUCAAUAAGAAGACCAAGAAUACACCAAUAAGACCAAGAAUACACCAAUAACAAUAAUAAGAAGAAAAACAAACUAUGAAGGAGAGAAGCAGCAGCAUCCGCACAGGAAGUCCGAGGUUCUUGAGGUCUCGGGCGUCGAGGUUGAGAAGCCUUGGACCGGUGAUGGCCAUGUCUUGAAACUUGGCCACGCAUCCCUCCAGGCCCUGCACCACCAACCACUGACUCACCUAAGGGGCAGGGACAGUGGUGAGGGUGGUGAGGGUGUGCUUGGUGAGGCAGGAUGAGGAUGAUGCAUGUGUGAGUUUGUGAAGGGUUAAGGCAAGGUCUGGGUAAGGGACAACAGGAGUGACGGUGUGCAAGAAGGGAAAGGCUGGUAGUUGAUGUGAGGGAUGGUAAUACUGUCUGGGUGUUGUAGAAAAGAAGAGGUGCUUAGUGAGUUGUGAAGGGGUGAGGAUACAAGAUUGUGUGUGUGGAAGGAAGGAAAGAAAGGAGUGAAGGGGUUAACAAGUGAAAGAGUGAGGUAAAAAGAUGCACAUUUAAUGAAAGGGAUUAUGAAAGAAGGGAGGAGAGGAGUGCAUGUUGAAUCAAGAGUGAGAAGAUUGAGUACCAAAUGAGUGAAAGAACAAAAAGAAGUUAUUGAGGGACAUAAGUGCAGUAAUGUCACACUACCAGGCACAGAACCAGACACUUCUAGAGAGACAGCCCACAGGUAGUGCUGGGCUGGCCACGCACACCAGCCGGUCACUUACCAGGCUCACCCACUCACCCACCCUGAGAUGCUGAGGGAGGAUGGAGGCUGUCGAGAUACACUUUUAGCUGUGUAUGGUCUUGUGGAUUAAAUGUGAAAGUGGUUGCUGUUUUAAUUGAAUGACCUGCACCUCGACCAUUCAAGUUUCUCUGGAGUACUUAGUGGCCAGAAAGCACUGUGCCAGUAGAAAUCAGCAGGUGUAAAGUGUAACCCUGGCCUCCACACACCAGUCAUUGUUCAGUGUGGCCACAACAUGCGUCUCCCAGGCAGCCUCGCUCCUCCCCUGCCUCACACCACCAACAGGUAAACCUCCAGUACACAAUUAAGUAAUGGAAAACUAAGCUGAACACAUCUAUAUCUACACUGACUGGAUUGAUGCUCCUUCACAAAGAUGUUAGUGUAGAUGCACAUUACUGUGCUGCAUUGCUCUUAAUGUUAAACUGUUUUGUGAUUAGUAUGCAAAAAUGCUUAAUUUUAGUUAAUUUUGGGAUUUGGUGAGUGUUAAACUCAUUAAUUGGCACUAAACUUAUGAUUUCUAUCAUGUCACAACAAUACAAGACACAUGAAUGAUGUUUAUCUUUUUCUUUCCAAUGAGGACCAAUGAUGAAAUGUUUCAUUGAUGUUAAUAAACUUAGUCAUUGUUUUCAGUCUUGAAACAACACUCCACUGUGCUUUGCAUUAGUGUGUGAAGCCAAUCAUUACAAUUCACCUCCAGAAGGAAAGACUUCUGGUACCCCAAGUGUCCUGAGUGGCACUUCUAGGGGGCAUGUGGAUGUACAGUGACACAAAUCAGUAAAGACAAGUAAUUAAAAAGUCUGCUACUUGCAGCCACAAAAGGAGCCAAGAAAACAACAAAAAACAACAAAAAAGUUGCUGCCACAAAAAUGAGCAGAGAAAACUGAAGCACAAAAUCUUACCUCUGACUGAGAAAUAUAAAAUGAUGCACUGAGUGAUAACAAAGCAGGUAUUGGCCCGUACCUGAAGCAAUGAGGCUUGAGGUGCUGCACAAGUCUUGCCUAACUUGUCAAUGUUAUACUGAAACAAUUCCCAGCCUGUCAAACACCACCACUACCAUCACCACCACGCAAGGCCCCAAGAGAUGAAUACAUUUAGAUUAACAUUAAAUAAAUAAAAAUUGUACACAUUUGGUGUUAAAUAGUACAAAUUUCAGUGCUGCUUGUGUACAUGUAUUUCCUGAGUGAGGUGUAGCAGAUGCCACCAGACCUUGUGUUGAUGCUUCCUGUGCUUUCCAUGGCACUACAAUACAAACUUUUGCUAAAUCAAUCCCGUACUUCGCAGUAGCACCCAGGAAUGAGGACACAGCCAGCCUGCCUCCUCCUGUUGGUGGUGGUGUGGUGCUGUCCUGGUGAGCCACACCCCAACACACAGGCUGGCCACAUGCUGUCCCUUCCCCCUGCUGUCAUGUCUCAAAUAACUCAAGAGUCAUGCAAAAAAAGGCAAGGGCUACUGGCUUGCUUAGAAGUUAUAAGACACUUACCUUGGACAGACAGGUGACGGAGGCAACAGAGGCAUGCCAACUGCUACUGCUUGCUGUUAGUAAUUAUGUAGUCUUUCAUCCAAUGUUUAGUCUUACUCCCAACAAUAGUCACAAUCUUGCCACUAAUCCCCAUCCUCCUCCUGUCUGCUCAAAUCAAGUGCACUCAUGCUGCCACCACCACCACCACUGCCACCACCACUACUCUGUUCCUACAAGCCCUCACUCUUUUACACACUGCCCACCACAGCUGCUGCUGCUGCUGCUACACCCCUGCCCCCUCACCACUGGAGCUACUUCUGCUGGCUAGUCUGACAGUCACUGUACCUGCUCCUUGGUCCAGUCCACCACAGGGGCGGUCUGCCACAUGUGGGAGCGCUUGGAGCGGUGCUCGGUGGGCGGGGGCGGCUGGGGGUGGGUGAGGGAGGUCUGGGAACCAAGUGAGGCCCCCGACCCCUCAUCCCCCGAGCCCAGGGAGGCGGGGCCGCUGCUCAGCUCCCCGCUGCUGGCGUCUACACCUGGCAUGGUCAUCGAGGUCAAGCCGGGGCACCACACACACCUACAACCCCAAGCCUGCCAAGUGAUUCUCUGCCCAGGCACUCAAUGUGUGUGCCUUGUUUGCUCAGUCUGGUCUUCCUUCACCCACACCAUCCACUUCCUGUGCCUCACUUUUCUGUCUGUCUAUGUAUUUAUGUCUCAAUGCCUUAGCUCACUCCACUCCAGGGUUCCCUCAAGAUAGUUGCAAGACAGGUCAUCAACUUUCCUGUUCUGCCAACACCUCAGUGCACAGUCAAAACUUUGGCUGUCAUUACUCUCACUCCAAAGCUCAUUUACUGUGUUUGUCUGCUGUGCUUCACUGUCUUGUGUCUUCCUCUAUCAACCAUUAAUACAGAGAGGUGUCUAGGUUAUUUUUACUUUCAUGGCACCACUUUGACAAAUGCAUCCUUCUUCCUCUCCUUGCUCUGAGAGACAAUAUCUGUCAUCUCUCAGGUUACAUAAUGAAAUUCCCCUCCUCUAUAUAUAUCCUGCUGGUUGUGGUGGAAAGUUUGCCCGCAGAGAAUCACUUUUGGCACAGGCUUGAGGUGGGUGAGGGAGGGGGAGUCCUGCUGUGGCCCCCCUCCCCACCAGGGCAAGGGACUGACUCUUGGCCAAUUGUCAUUUAGAAGCACAUGCCAGAUUGAACUAGUCAAGGGGAGAAACUCAACACAAGGCCAACAUAAUGAGGAAUAGCAGUCUUAAUCUAUCAGUGGUCCAGUCCAGGGUGCAAAACAACAUAAAGGCUACGGCUAGUGGGAAAAAACCAGGCGCUAAAAUAAUACGAACUAAACAUAACCAAAAAAUGUCUCCAGUUAUUUUUACUUUGUUUUUCUUUUCUUUCUUUAAGGUUCAGUUUGUGCAGCAUCAAUUUUGUUACUCAGCUGACAUGACCUAUGGUGGGGCUGACCUGCUUGUAUGUAGAGGGGACAAUGACACUGAAAUUUUGGCUGAUGAAUACACACAAUUAUCACACUUAAGUAAUGAAUGAUAGAGAAAUUAUGGGAUUCAACUCAAACACACACACUGCUCUUCCUACAACACUCAUAAAAGCCUCAAAUCAACCUCCUUCCUUUAAAUUAUUUCUCAUUUCCUCUUUCUCUCUCACAUGUGAAGUUUUUCUUAUCUUUCCUUCAUUAUUUACUCUCCUUCUGUUUGUCUGUCUGUUUUUCCUUUUCUUUCAGUUUAUCUAUAUAAACAUGCUUAUCUUCUAUUUUUUUAUUUUUCUUUGUUCACUCUUCUAUACUAUACUAUCCUUCCUUUUCCUUCCAUUCCUCAAUUCUUAAAGCUCCUCUAGCUUAUUUAUUUAUUUAUCCUUCCACUUUUCCAUUUUUAUCAUCCUAAGCUGCACCUAUUCUAUUCUUACUACUUUCCUUCUAUUCCUCUUAGAUUCUUGGCCUUCUAUCUCAUCAUUCAGAUUUGCCCUGUGUUUCUUGUCUGUUCUCUGGCUUUCUCCUCUCCCUAUCUUCCUUCCCCUUCACCACUUUUCUCCUCCUCUUAAUUCAUCCAUCUUUUAUUCUAUUCCUUUUAAUUCCUCCUCUCCCAGCCUUCCUUUAUUACUGUUUUCUCUUCCAUUCCUCUCAGUCCCUCCUCUCUUUAACUCUCCACAAGUUCUCACCACUCUAAUUUUCCCAUCCUUCCCUCAUUACUGCUUCCUCUUCCAUUCCUCUCAGUCCCUCCUCUCCCAAGCCCACCACUCUCAUCCUCUUCUGCCUCACCUGUGGACCCCUUGUGCGAGGGUGUGCUGGAGCUGUCGAGAGAGCGCUGACUCAGUAGCACCACACCUCCUGCUGGGUUGGGGCUGACUGAGGCGCCCGGUGAAGCACGGCCCAGCUUGGGGGACUGGGAACCGCCGCUGGGGACCUCCCGGUGUGACUCUCGGCUGGCCUGGUGGGAGAUGCAGGGGUGGUGAUGGGGAAGUGAAGAGUGGUGUGUGGAGGUUUGGUAGUGUGUGUGUUGUUUCUGCCGUUGUAUUCCCAGCCUUUGCUUCACUUCACUGCAAUGUAACUCUUUCCAAUCCUUUACAGAGAUGCUCCUCAGUACUAAAGCAACUCCUGUGACUGUGAUGGGGAAGUGAAGAGUGACGUGGGUUACGGACUGUUUCUGUUGUUGUAUUCCUACCUUCGCUUCACCUCAGUGCAAUCUAAACCCUUCCAUUUCUUUACAGAAAUGCUCCUCAACAUUAAGGCAACUCCCGUGACCUGCAGCAUGCUGACCUUACUCACGGGGGUGUAGAAGGCGGACUGUGACCUCUGUGGAGACGUGGCCGAGGGUGGGGCAACCUGGUGGUGCCCUGGACUCACCAGGUGAUGGGCUGUUGACGACACAUACAAGGGACCGCUUAUAUGAGGCUUCUUACCCACUGCAAGAGAGAGAGAGAGAGCCGGCUCUGUCACCACCACCACCACCACCAGCACCUUGGGGACCUCCACGCUGAGGGUUUGCAGGGCCCCUAAGUCUUACAGGGACCUCACCCUGACCUGCAUCUCACUGGAGGGUUGGGACACAACUCUAGGGGUUUGUGUGCCACAUUCAAUGCUGUCUAAUUACAAACAGGGAGUUUGUUUGUUAUGACCUGUCUUUGUUUGCUAUUCAAAAAUUUAAAAUUUAAAAGGUUUGUUUACAUUCCUUUAAGACAAAGAAAUGUGGAGAUUUUAAAGA